ACACGACCGUACCGCAAACCGACACUGGUGCGCGAGAUGAGUAUUCUAAGGCGCUUGAGAGAACUCAGGAGAAGGAACUCGGCAAAUUGACACCGUAACUUCGGAAGAAGGUGUGCCUUUAGUAGGUGAAGUCCCUCGCGGAUGGAGCCCAAUGAGGUUGCAAAGAAUCGGUGGCUGCGACUGUUUAUUAAAAACACAGCACUCUGCAAACACGAAAGUGGACGUAUAGGGUGUGACGCCUGCCCGGUGCUGGAAGAUUAAAUGAUGGGGUGCAAGCUCUUGAUUGAAGUCCCAGUAAACGGCGGCCGUAACAAUAACGGUCCUAAGGUAGCGAAAUUCCUUGUCGGGUAAGUUCCGACCUGCACGAAUGGCGUAACGAUGGCCACACUGUCUCCUCCUGAGACUCAGCGAAGUUGAAAUGUUUGUGAUGAUGCAAUCUCCCCGCGGAAAGACGGAAAGACCCCAUGAACCUUUACUGUAGCUUUGUAUUGGACUUUGAACAGAUCUGUGUAGGAUAGGUGGGAGGCUUUGAAGCAGGGUCGCUAGAUCUUGUGGAGCCAACGUUGAAAUACCACCCUGGUGUGUUUGAGGUUCUAACCUAGGCCCGUAAUCCGGGUUGGGGACAGUGCAUGGUAGGCAGUUUGACUGGGGCGGUCUCCUCCCAAAGUGUAACGGAGGAGUUCGAAGGUACGCUAGUUACGGUCGGACAUCGUGACGAUAGUGCAAUGGCAUAAGCGUGCUUAACUGCGAGACUGACAAGUCGAGCAGAUGCGAAAGCAGGACAUAGUGAUCCGGUGGUUCUGUAUGGAAGGGCCAUCGCUCAACGGAUAAAAGGUACUCUGGGGAUAACAGGCUGAUACCGCCCAAGAGUUCAUAUCGACGGCGGUGUUUGGCACCUCGAUGUCGGCUCAUCUCAUCCUGGGGCUGUAGCCGGUCCCAAGGGUAUGGCUGUUCGCCAUUUAAAGAGGUACGUGAGCUGGGUUUAAAACGUCGUGAGACAGUUUGGUCCCUAUCUUCCGUGGGCGCUGCAGAUUUGAGGAAGCCUGCUCCUAGUACGAGAGGACCGGAGUGGACGCACCUCUGGUGUAUCGGUUGUCACGCCAGUGGCAUUGCCGAGUAGCUAUGUGCGGAAGAGAUAACCGCUGAAAGCAUCUAAGCGGGAAACUCGUUUCAAGAUGAGAUCUGCCGGGGCCUUGAGCCCCCUGAAGAGUCGUUCAAGACCAGGACGUUGAUAGGUCGGGUGUGGAAGCGCAGUAAUGCGUUAAGCUAACCGAUACUAAUUGCUCGUGCGGCUUGACCCA
rnacentral:rRNA from 1 species